ACAUCUUACCUUGGUGUGGAGACUUACAGGUUCUCUAUUUUGAGAACUUGGAGAAACAUAUUCUUCCAUCCAAAUCCAUGGAUCUAAGAAGCAAGGAAUGAAGGCCCUCUCUUUGGGUGAUUAGCCUUUGCUUAUGCAAAGAGGAAUCUACAAAGGUAUAAAUUUCUCAACUCACUUUGAUUUAAGUUGAGUCUUGGUUCACCAAUCUACUAGGAUUUGAAUUUCAUGGUUAAUGUUUUGUUUUAAGUGCAUACAAGCAUGAUUCCGCCUUUUAAUUGUUAAUUGCAUGCUAUAGAUGUUGCUUAAAUGAACAUGUUUUUCACAAAAUUUCCUUCAGUAUGCCAGUAGGAGUCACCUUACGUGACCUGUACGACUGGAUCUAUAGCUCAUCAAUCUAGGCUAGCACAUGAGUUGAAGUCACCUAGUGUGACUUGUACAACAGGCUGGGUAUAAAUUUAUACGCACAAGUGCUACGAUUACGUGAAGGUUGUGCGAUAAAUCGCGGAUCACCUACAAAUCGGAACCUCCUAUUGUGGUUUGUACGACAAGCUGACACUAGACUUGGAUCCAAGGUGAGCAUGCGGGCUAGUUUGGAUGCCCUAAUUCCAUAUGUGAAGUCCAAUUAACGAAAUUCCAUUGUUUGGGUACAAUUUUGCUAAGGUCCGCCACUUGGUCAUUAUUUGAAUCGACGAUCCGACUGUUGGAUCGUCACCAAACUUUAGUAGGUUAUUAUUCAUAAUAUUGGAGGACCUUAGAAACUUAAGGAUCGGGACUCCAACGUACAGAUCUUCUCGAAUAGGAUAUGUAAGUUACGUGUUCUAUUGAUAAGAAUUCUGAGACGUGAUUUGAUAAUUGUUUUAGGUGCCGAUCAUGCGUGAAGCCUCAAUAUUCAUGCUAGGGAGUUGUAGCAUGAACUAAGGUGAGUGGGUCUUUUUCCUGUUUAUAGUAUAUAUAUAUAUGUGUGUGUGUAUAUAUAUAUAUACACCUUACGAUUUUCCAGAAAUGUUUGAAAUUGAUUAGCAUGCCAUGAUUUAAAUGUGUUAUAUUUAAAUAUUGCAUUGUUACACUUGUGAAUUGUAUUGUGUGAUGUUAAGGAGACUCAGGUAAGCUUCUGGUGAGUAUUAUGUGAUUGAAUGGGUUUUAUUGCAUUGCUAUGCAUACAUUUAUUUAAAGCUCAUCAUGGCUGCACUCCGGUAUUAAUGCUCCCACCGGAGGCCAGGGCUAGGCUU
rnacentral:lncRNA from 1 species